rnacentral:rRNA from 1 species
AGUGAACGCUGGCGGUAGACCUAACACAUGCAAGUCGAACGGCAGCACAGUAAGAGCUUGCUCUUACGGGUGGCGAGUGGCGGACGGGUGAGGAAUACAUCGGAAUCUACUUUUUCGUGGGGGAUAACGUAGGGAAACUUACGCUAAUACCGCAUACGACCUACGGGUGAAAGCAGGGGAUCUUCGGACCUUGCGCGAUUGAAUGAGCCGAUGUCGGAUUAGCUAGUUGGCGGGGUAAAGGCCCACCAAGGCGACGAUCCGUAGCUGGUCUGAGAGGAUGAUCAGCCACACUGGAACUUAGACACCGUCCAGACUCCUACGGUAGGCAGCAGUGGGGAAUAUUAGACAAUAGGCGCAAGCCUUAUCCAACCAUACCACGUGGGUGAAGAAGACCUUCGGGUUUUAAAGCCCUUUUGUUGGGAAAGAAAAGCAGCAGAUUAAUACCCCGCUGUUCUGACGGUACCCAAAUAAUAAGCACCGGCUAACUUCGUG